AGAGUUUGAUCAUGGCUCAGGACGAACGCUGGCGGCGUGGAUUAGGCAUGCAAGUCGAACGGUAUAAACCUUUCGGGGUUUAGAGAGUGGCGAACGGGUGAGUAACACGUAGGUAAUCUACCCUCAAAACGGGGACAACCCAGGGAAACUUGGGCUAAUACCGGAUGCGUGCAAGCAAUGUUUUGGCUGUUAAUGCUAUUCACGGAAGUGAGUAGUGUUAAUGGUUGAGAGCAUUAUUUGCAUAAAAGGUGGCAUAUGCUGCCGUUUGAGGAUGAGCCUGCGUCCUAUUAGUUAGUUGGUGAGGUAAUGGCUUACCAAGGCGAUGAUAGGUAGGCGGCCUUAACGGGUGGUCGCCCACACUGGGAUUGAGAGACGGCCCAGACUCCUACGGGAGGCAGCAGUCGAGAAUAGUCUACAAUGGACGGAAGUCUGAUAGUGCGACGCCGCGUGAACGAAGAAUCCCUUCGGGGUGUAAAGUUCUUUUAUACGUGAGCAGUGCCCUUUAUAUGAAUAGUAUAGAGGGAGGGAUUUAAGCGUAUGAAUAAGCAACGGCUAACUCCGUACCAGCAGCCGCGGUAACACGGGGGUUGCAAGCGUUGUCCGGAAUUACUAGGCGUAAAGUGCAGGUAGGCGGAUAGAUAAGUUUAAGGUUAAAGGCUACGGCUUACCCGUAGUAAGGCGUUAGAUACUGUUUAUCUGGAAUGCGGUUGAGGGAGACAGAAUUCCUGGUGUAGCGGUGGAAUGCGCAGAGAUCAGGAGGAAUACCGAAGGCGAAGGCAGUCUUCUAAGCCGAUAUUGACGCUAAACUGCGAAGGUGUGGGGAUCAAACAGGAUUAGAUACCCUGGUAGUCCACACAGUAAACGAUAAUCACUAGGUGUUGGGUUCGUAUAGGACUCGGUGCCGGAGCUAACGCGAUAAGUGAUUCGCCUGGGGAGUACGAUCGCAAGGUUGAAACUCAAAUGAAUUGACGG
rnacentral:rRNA from 1 species